CGCCUCGCCCCGCAGUGGAGGCCGCCCGCGGGCUCGCCGUCCAUCUUUGGGUCUGGGGGCCGCGCGGCCGUCCCCUCAGCGGCUGCUCCCGACGAGGGCGCCCGACGCGCCGCCGGGGAAGAGGACGGUGCCCCCCGGGCGCGAAAUGGGUUCCCGAGGGCGAAGCCGGAACGCCUGAAGUCGUUUUCUGCUCUUAAUUUACUUUUUUGGAGGUUUGUGGGAGAAAAUUAUCUGCAACAACGUUUACCAGCACCUUCGAGAUAGGAGUAUUUCAGUUAUAGUCCCAGCCCCCGCUUUCUGGGCGGGUCUUUGUUUUUUACUAAAAGGUAGCAUUAUUGGACAUUUCUAGUGGUUUUGUUUUCUCCCACUUUCUCGUGAAAGCCCAGAAACCGUUUCCAGAGAGAAAUGCUUGCCUCGGACCUCCCUGGCGGCGUGAGACCACGGGGUCGCCCCUGCGGAGGACGCGGUGGCUCUGAGUCAGCACGGGCUGUGGCGUGGCGAGGAGUCGGUUGCUUCAGUGGUUGCAGCAGAGCCGCCGCCCGGCUCGCGAAUGCAGAGUCCUGCCGGGCCCGUCCCCUUGCGGCCUCAGACUGAGGGACACCGGCAGCUGGACACAGUACUGUGACAACAGCAGCCAAGGAGCCGCGCAGAGUGGAGCCGGAAAGAGUGCAAUGGCAUCACAUAGCUCACUGCAGCCUCAAACUCCUGGGCUCAAGAGAUCCUCCUGCCUCAGCCUCUCAAGUUGCCGGGACUUAUAGGUUGGAGUCGGGGCAGAAGGAAACCAGCAGCUGUGCUACAAGGCAGAACAACGCACAAUGUCACAUCAAAGAGACCCCCAGGUCCCAAAGGCCCAUGUAGCUUUGGGGGUUCCCAUGCUCAGGCUGCCACCCUUCAAGUCCUCUGUGGCCACACUAAUGGGAUCUUUAAUAAAAGUCAGUGGUGCCGUCCCCAGAGUGGUGGCUCCUGUGUUCUCCAAAGGCCCUGCCAGGAGCCACCUCCUGCGCUCAUGCCUUUGUUGACAUCACCCCGAAAGUCCUCUGGCGUACCUCCAGCCCAGCAGCUGUGGCCAGGUUAAAGGUCUGUGCCCACCCGACCCAACUUCCCUCGCAGAAAGAUCUUGUGACAAAAAGGACCUGGGGGACGUGACGGCUUAGGCAGCAGUGCUGUGUCAGUGCUGGCAAGAGCUGGAGGAUGAGGAAGCUGCAUGGCUCCUCCUUCCUCCUGAUGUGUUUGUGGGGGAGGGGGACACUGCCACUCUGUUAGCCUUGGUCACCCUGAGGACUUGGGGCCAAAUUUUCUUUGAAUAUCUCUGUAUGAUUUUACUUGUUGCCACAAGCUGUUAUGACCUGCAGUUUGAAGGAAAAAUUCCACCUGGCCUAAAAAAAGAAAAGGGGGAAUUAAAACAAGUAUAAAUUAUAAGCACCAUGUUUAAAUGUGGAAAAAUGUUUGCUGUAAGAAUGGCAGAACCGCACACAGCACGUCCUCACGCCUGUGUGCCGCACACAUGCAGGGCUGUGCGCAGAAAUGCAGCUUCCCAGGCCAGUGGCUUUGUGGACAUUCUAAAUUUAUUAAGCAGUAGAUCGUCUUUUUCAAUAAAAUGGAGCGUCAGACACACUCACUAAAACGUAAUAAACAUAACCGAGAGGCACUGGUUUCAGUGUUGCCCUGGCUGUGUGGAAGAUCCGCAGUGUUUGUUACAUUACCUAUGCUUCUGUCGACUGCCUGAAAUCCUUCCUCAUAAAACAACUUUUUUUUAAAUGCAGCUAGAUGGCAGCUGGUGGCCUAGGGCUGCUCCCGAGUUCCAUUUGCUGGGUGACUCCACCAGCCCAGCCAGCAUCAUUCCUCCUUCUUGCAGACUCAAGGGAUGUGUCUGUGGUCAAAAGCGGAUCUGCAUCCCAAGGGGAACUCAGGAGCACACAGCUGCUCCAUGAGCAAAGGUGUAUGCGUGUCCUAGUGCCACAGCAAAUCAUCACCAACCUGCACACUGAAACGAGGAGUUUGUUCUCUCACAGUUCUAGAAGCCAGAAGUCCACAGUCAAGGUGUGGGCAGGGUUCACUCCCUCCUCCAGAGUCCUUCCUGCCUCCUCCAGCCUCUGGGGGCUCCAGGUGCUCCUGCACUGCUCAUGGCCGCAUGGCUGCAGUCUCUGUCUUCACCUGGCCUUCUCCCCAUGUGUCUGUGGCCUCCUCUUUUUGUAAGGACACUAGUCAUUAGAUUUGGGACCCACCUAAGUCCAGAAUGAUUUCAUGACAAGAUCCAUAACUAGUUGUAUCUAUAAAGACCCUACUUGCAGACAAGGUUACAUCCUUAUGUUCUGGCUGGACAUGAAUUUGGGGGGUGGGAGGGAUACUGUUCAACCCAGUAUACCAGGACACUCAUUUGUGUACUUCUGGAGAGAGCUUUGAGAAAUCAGAAGGCACUUGUUGGCCUGCCCCGCCCCUUCACCCUGGGCUGGAGGCUGGAGUGCAUGGCACUGCGACUUGGAUCUGGAGUGGAGUCUCCCGGUCAAGAGAAUCCCUUCCCUGCCCUGCUUUCCCAGGAAAAUGAUGCUCAGAUCUGCUCCACCAAGACCCCCUCACCAGGGACAGUUCGGGUGCCCACCAGCAACAGUCAGGACAGACACACUGGGCACUCCCUGCGUGCCGGGUUCAGCCUGGUGUGCAGAUGAGGGGCUGUAGCUCAAGGUUAAGUGAGUGCCCCAAGGUCUCAUUCUUGGGAGGGGCAGAAACCCAGGACUCAGACCUGAAAGCUGACAGACCCUUCCGUCCAAGCACAGAUUAGACGCCUGCUUGCUGAAUUAGAGUCAGGCCUGCUUCUCUCAGAUUGACCUAGAUCUCCUGAGUGAGGCUGUCUACAAACUCGCAAAUGACUCAUUGCAACAGCCUCUUGGCUGACUCCCACAAUGGCUAACUAGAGCCAUCGUGCACGGACUUUACUAGCAUAACUCGGAGAGGUCAUUUCAAAGUUCAGGAGGGAAUGGCCCUCCUGGCGGCACUCCAAGGAGUCAGCCUUCUUGUCCGUCUCCUCCAGCUCAGAGCACGAGCAAGGAACGGCGUUACCCCCAAGGAGAGAAGCCUGCCAGCAUCUGGGCUCCCCGCUUCCCCAGGGAGGGUCAGCGCUGCUGGGCUUUACUUCCCAAGCACGAUGCCCGUCGGGUGACUUCUUAGGAUCGCCUGUUGCUUUGGUUAAUUCCUAAAUAACUUGCCCAUCAUUCAGUUCACAUGCCCGGUUUACAAAAGCCCAGCCCCAGUCCCUGAAAACCUUUAGUGUCAUGACAGGUGCUUUGGAAGAUGCACCAAACCACAGAUUUUGUCACUGAUAAUGUUAAUUUAGUAAGCGUUUAAUAAAUGAUGUGGUAUGGAAAGCUAA